GCCCUGUGCUGUGUGGCCACCGCCCACACGCCAUUGAUUACAGGAUGCACCACUGAUGCUGCAGUGGAGGAAACAAUAAACUAUGGUCAUACGAAGUGCACACAUCAAAGCAUAAGGGCUUACAUUUAAGACCACGCUACUCUGGCAAAAUACCACCGGGCAUGCCUCUCGCCUUCCUGGCUUUCUUCCUCUCCCCCGCUCCUUCCUCAGGCUGGUCCACGCCCUGGGGCUGAGGACUCUGCACCCAGUCAUCUCUGAGCGGCAACAACCAAGCAAAAGCAAAACUCCAAGUUUCCUUAAAAAGUCCAACCCAGAAUGACCAUACAUGACCAGGAAUUCUCCACCUAGGUUAAUACCCCAAAGAAAUGAAAGCAGUUGUUCAAACAAAAUGCACACCCAGUAUUCCCAGAAGCACCAAUCCCAGUAGCCAAAAGGCUAAAACAACCCAAAUGUCCAUCAGCAGAUGAAUGAAUAAACAAACUGUGGUCCAUCCACACAGUGGAGCAUUACUCAGCCAGAACAAGAACUGAAGUGCUGAUUCAUGCUCCAACACCGACGGGCCUUGAGAACACAACAUAAUAGAAGCCAGACCCCCGAAAGUCACAAAUUGUAUGGUUCCUUUUCACACAAACUGACACAGAACAGACGGGUGGUUGCCAGAGGCUGGGGGAAGGAAGGGACGGGAAGUGACUGCUUAAGGGGAGCACAGGCGCCUUUUGGGGUGAUGGACAUGUUCUGGAACUGGGGAGCAGCGACGGCCGCACACAAUGUAAAUGUGAUAAAUGCCACGGAACUGGACACUUGACAAUGGUUAAAAAGCUGGAUUCUAUGCUGUGAUAUGAAUUCUACUUCAAUAAAAAAAAAAAAAA